CAGCCGCCAGCGGUAAUACAGAGGGUGCGAGCGUUAAUCGGAUUUACUGGGCGUAAAGCGUGCGUAGGCGGCUUUUUAAGUCGGAUGUGAAAUCCCUGAGCUUAACUUAGGAAUUGCAUUCGAUACUGGGAAGCUAGAGUAUGGGAGAGGAUGGUAGAAUUCCAGGUGUAGCGGUGAAAUGCGUAGAGAUCUGGAGGAAUACCGAUGGCGAAGGCAGCCAUCUGGCCUAAUACUGACGCUGAGGUACGAAAGCAUGGGGAGCAAACAGGAUUAGAUACCCGAGUAGUCCCUGUCUCUUAUA
rnacentral:rRNA from 1 species